rnacentral:rRNA from 1 species
GGGCCCGCACAAGCGGUGGAGUAUGUGGUUUAAUUCGAUGCAACGCGAAGAACCUUACCAGGGUUUGACAUCCUGCGAAUCUCUUGGAAACAGGAGAGUGCCUUCGGGAACGCAGUGACAGGUGGUGCAUGGCUGUCGUCAGCUCGUGUCGUGAGAUGUUGGGUUAAGUCCCGCAACGAGCGCAACCCACGUCUUUAGUUGCCAGCAUUUAGUUGGGCACUCUAGAGAGACUGCCGGUGAUAAACCGGAGGAAGGUGUGGAUGACGUCAAGUCAUCAUGCCCCUUACAUCCUGGGCUACACACGUACUACAAUGCUACGGACAAAGGGCAGCAAACUCGCGAGAGCUAGCAAAUCCCAUAAACCGUGGCUCAGUUCAGAUCGUAGGCUGCAACUCGCCUACGUGAAGGAGGAAUCGCUAGUAAUCGCAGGU